UGGACCCACGGGGGCGGCGCGCGAACCCCAGGGCCUGAGGGGGCCCCGCCUCCCGGCCGGCGGGGCGCUGACGGAGGGGGGGUAGCGCACCCCGACUCCCCUGAUCACAUGGGCUGCGGGGGGGGGGGCCAGGAAGAUCGGGAGAGGGGGAGGUGCGCAGAGCCGCCCGCCGCUCCUCACCCGGGCCGGGAGAAGUCGCCCCCCGCACCCCCCCACGAGUCCGUCCUCUCCAUUCAAGUUCGCCGGGCCUUGCCGCCGGGAUCGGGGAUGGCCCCCAGCUGCCCGCCCAGCUCUGCGUCCUGUUUCCAGCCACCGCGCAGAAAUUUAGGUCAAGGACGUCGGGAGCAAACCCACACCCUGGAGCUCUUCGGGAGGCCCCCGAGACCCCCCCACCCCAGGAUCGGGAUGGAGGGGGGGCUUCAGGAUGGCGGAGAACCCCCAGCACAAACAUCAGCCACAAGUUUUAUUUUGCCUUCGCGCUGCAAGUUCGGCGCUCGCUCCACACCGGCACGUCCUGCGCGGCUCCCCGCCCUUCCCCGCAGAGGAUAGGUGGCCAGAGCACCCCUGAAGAGCGCGACUGUAGUGUCAGCCAGUGCCUCUUUUGGUUCUUUGGAGACCAAGCCCCACAGCAGUUUUGUGUGAAAUUCCCACCUUGGAGGGCCAUGGGCCCCAGCGCCCCCGUCUGGUGAAGAGAGGGAACACUUUGUUACGUUGUGGCUCCCUCUGCUGGCAGAGCAAGCGAGACUGAGUCGGCUGACAGGGCCCUGUUGCAGAGUCCCAGGCCAAAAGCUCACAGGUGGAGAGGUUUCCUGGCCUGGACACCAAGAUCCACCACAGUAGCCCACGCUGCAGUUUCUGUGAUAACCAAUCAGCUAAUUCCAAGUGGCUGAAAAGACUAAAGAAGAGGAGAGGAAGAAAUCGCUGUACUCUCUGAGGAGGGAAUUCAAAUAGGACAAAAUCAAAUCUAUUUAGCCAAACAUAGUGUGGACACACAUAGAGGAAUGGAGGGGGAAAGGAAAAGAAGUAUUAGAUGUGAAGGCAAUAAAGGAUGGAGUGCAGCACAAAUUGCCGAACAAGACAUUCGUGCUAAAAAUAAUGUUGCUUGCAGAGAGCAUGAGAAAUAAAAGUGUGGCCGUGUCCAGGGGCAAGAGGCACAAGAGGAUCCGUGUCUCAACACCCAGAAUUAGAACAAGAUGAAGAUAGGACCAUCACUUAAGAAGAGUGGGAAUGAACAUGAAAAUAAUUUGAAGUGAACCAGAAAAUUAAUUCUGUCACCAUCCUCUUACUUCUGUGGGUCUGAUGAUGCGGAAGCCCCCUGGACAGUGGGUGGCCAUGCCCUCUGGGUUGUAAACAUCCCCCCAAGGCCCCGUCACCCAUUCAGCAAAUGCCAACUGAGAAAGGAGGGCAAGACCUAGUUUUGUAUCUACUAGGCUGGGUCACAGAUAAUCAUGAGCAUUCAGAAAAUCAAUUGCCCAAGUGGCUGAUGGGGAGCCCUGUCCUGACGGAAGGCGGGCAUGAGGAAGACCUGGGGGUGUUAGCUGAUCGCAAGCUUGAUGUGAACCUACAGCGCGAGGAGGCUGUUGAGAACCCUAAUGCAAUCUUCGGCUCUAUUAAUAGCACAGCAGAGUGUGGAAGGAGGGAAGCAAUAAUCCCAGUGCGUGCUGGCGGGUCAGGCCACAUGCAGCUUUAUGCUCGGUCCUGCGGGCUAUAUUUUAAGAACAGCUCUAGCAAAUUCAAGCCUGUUCAGAUGAGCAUGAAAAGGACUGGAUGUCGGUAUGUAGGCAGCAUAGCGAUGAGCUUUACAAUCCUUUUACAAUUGGCAAUAUCAGAAUGAUUAUUGCACCAAAGCCUCGGAGCCUCCAGAGCCAGUACCAGGAAGCUUGUUUCCAGUAUUUACUUAACCUUGAGCUUAGGGUCCUCUACCCAUACACGAAGGGUAAUCCUCUACCCAGACUGUCUCCAAGCAUCUCUCAAGGAGAGUCCACUCAUCCGGGCCAGUGUGUCCUGAGCAUGGACAGAGGGCCCAGCUGUUUGCUGGGCAGGGUCACAAAGAGAGUCCAACUGCCUGUCUUUGAAGACCCUGAAGUCUAGUAGGGCAGACAGGCCCAUAAAGGAGUACUUUGCAGACAGUGUGACACAUGAUGAUGGAUACACGCAUAGAUUUGAGAUGAGAUGUAAUUAAUUUGUUAGAGGGAAAGAGUGACAAGAGAGAAAAACAGAGUCCUUGUAGAAGGUAUACUUUCAAGGGCAGAAGGAAGACAAGGAAUGACCAGAGGUCAGGAAAGAAGAUCCAUGAAUGAGGAAAAAUUAGAACCAGGAAAGCUCAAGGUCACGAGAGACAGGUGAAAGGUCUCCACAGUGUCAGAAGCAUCAAGAAGUCAUGAAGGAGGCGGAAAAGGAAGGUUAACACAUUUCUAGACUGUUCGCAGAUGUGGAGAUUAGGAGUACAUUUGUGGUGGUCAGGAGAAACCUUUCGGGAAAAUAAUGAAGGCAGGGAAUGUUUUCAUUGAAGAAGUUUGUGGAAGAGUGCAUUUAUUGGGCACUUACUACAUAGCUAGCAUGCUGAGAGUCGAAAAAGCAAAAGACUUUGCUGGAGCCCAUCUCAGUGUUGGUUGCUGGGGCGGGGGGGGGCCAGACACAAUGGGGUUUCCUGGGUGUUUGGCCGACGCAGUCACCUAUGGAGGCCGGGAGACAGAAUGAUGCCUGCCAUACCCCAAAUGUGGCCAAGCUCAUCCUUUCCUUCCCCUCUCCCUGAUUCUUGGGCGGUUUCCUUUCCCAGAAGCAUCCCCCAGCACGGCGCUUGUCUUAACAUCCCGCGUGUUUGCUCCCAUUCUGUUAUUUACUGGUGAAAUUAAUAUUAGUCUUUACCCUGCUCACAUUCCAGAUCCAACACGCAUUUUUUCAUCAGUGGGCUUGUGUUUGGUUGAUUAGUUAUUCAUGUGUAAUGUAAGACGACAACAGCUGUAAUACAGAGAAAUGAUUGCGGAGAAGGCAGGCGUGUGCGCUCCGGGCUUGGCUUCUUUUUUCUUUUCUUUGUGGAGGUGGGUGGGUCGGCAGGUUAGUAAAGGCAUCUGGAUCACUUGCAGACGGUGGAAACUCACCCCUUACUAAACCAGUAAUGGAAGCAAACGAGGGGCACUGGAAACAAACAGCAGCGGCCCCUCAGUCUCCCUGAUCUCCGCCACAAGCACCUCAUCAGCUUCCUGACCUGUCCCCACGGUCGCCAGACCCAAGGCCUUGUCUUUUCUUUUUCCAGUGCUGGGGGUUGACCUCAAGGCCUCCUGUAUGCCAGGUAACCACUCUUCCACUGCGCUGUAUCGCAGCCUUUUAAAUUUUAUUUUGAGACAAGGUCUUGCUAAGUUCCCAGGCUGGCCUCAAACUUGGCAUCCUUUUGCAUCAGCCUCCUAAGACCAAGGUCUUUUCUGGCCCACAGCACUCUCUAAAGUCGCCUCUCCACCCGUUAUUUUCUUCUUUUUGGGGGGACCAGGGAUCGAACUCGGGACCUUGCGCUGACAAGGCAAGCAGCGGAACCACUAAGCUAAAUCCCCGGCCCCUCCACCCAUUACUUUCUAAUCCCUCUCCUUAUUUAUUUCCUCCAUGACACCAAACACCGUGUGAAGUUAUGUUGCUUUUUUAUUCCUUGACUGGAGAAUUACCUGGAAACCCCACAGAAGCAGUGUCUCACCUCUGUUGUGUCUUACUGCACCUCUGAUACCUUCAACGAAGCCAGCACGAGCCCUUCUCACUCUCUGAAAUUACCGUGUAAUUUCUGUGUCCUUGCUAAUCACCUGCUACCCACUUCCGUCCACACAAGCAGGGACCUCACCUGUCGUGUUCACUGCUCGGGCCCAACACACAGUGGCUGGAAGACAUUGGCUGAAGAAGUGAUUUUAGACAGAAAGAGAAAGCAACAGUUGAGAUGAACACAAAGUGCGAAUGAAAUGUACAGAUAUGAAUGCAUUCACACACACAUAAAAUCAAGCUACAGAGAAAUUUUUUCUUUCUUUUUUUUUGCGGGG
rnacentral:lncRNA from 1 species